UGGGGAAUAUUGCACAAUGGGCGAAAGCCUGAUGCAGCAACGCCGCGUGAGUGAUGACGGUCUUCGGAUUGUAAAGCUCUGUCUUUGGGGACGAUAAUGACGGUACCCAAGGAGGAAGCCACGGCUAACUACGUGCCAGCAGCCGCGGUAAUACGUAGGUGGCAAGCGUUGUCCGGAUUUACUGGGCGUAAAGGGUGCGUAGGCGGACCUUUAAGUGAGAUGUGAAAUCCCCGAGCUUAACUUGGGGGCUGCAUUUCAAACUGGAGGUCUAGAGUGCAGGAGAGGAGAGUGGAAUUCCUAGUGUAGCGGUGAAAUGCGUAGAGAUUAGGAAGGACACCAGUGGCGAAGGCGACUCUCUGGACUGUAACUGACGCUGAGGCACGAAAGCGUG
rnacentral:rRNA from 1 species